ensembl:lncRNA
AGCUAGGGUAAGGGUUAAGGUUAGGGUUAGAGCUAGGGUAAGGGUUAAGGUAAGGGUUAAGGUAAGGGUUAGAGCUAGGGUAAGGGUUAAGAUUGGGGUUAGUAAAUAGUUAGUUGAGAUGUUACUGAUUGUCUGUAGAGAAUCUACAGAUGAUGGACUAUCUAAAUAAAGUGUUACCCAGAUACCUACUCAAUUAUAUGUGAGCUCUUUUAGAGAAAAUUCUGAAAGCUAAUUCCAUAUUCAUAAUUCGUGAACAGAAUUGAAAAACAAAACAUUGUCUGUUUAUGAUUGGAAUAAAAAGCAAAACAAUGCAAA